GAGCGAGUGGCGCAACAGGCUAGACGCAGCGGACUUAAAAUCCGUAGCCCAAGUGGCAUGUGGGUUCGAAUCCCACCUCGCUCA
rnacentral:tRNA from 1 species